CUUUCCAACUGUCUCCCAAAGGUGUCUAUCCAUGGAAACAAUUGAUUCAUCCUGGUGUGCUGGCAAAUCUUGAGUAGGACAAUCUGAGGGGCAGACCUUAGAAGUUUAUCUUAACCAACGACAAAAUUCUGGCUUCCCAGC
ensembl:misc_RNA predicted gene, 27285